rnacentral:rRNA from 1 species
GACGAACGCUGGCGGCGUGCCUAAUACAUGCAAGUCGAACGCUUCUUUCCUCCCGAGUGCUUGCACUCAAUUGGAAAGAGGAGUGGCGGACGGGUGAGUAACACGUGGGUAACCUACCCAUCAGAGGGGGAUGACACUUGGAAACAGGUGCUAAUACCGCAUAACAGUUUAUGCCGCAUGGCAUAAGAGUGAAAGGCGCUUUCGGGUGUCGCUGAUGGAUGGACCCGCGGUGCAUUAGCUAGUUGGUGAGGUAACGGCUCACCAAGGCCACGAUGCAUAGCCGACCUCAGAGGGUGAUCGGCCACACCGGGACUGAGACACGGCCCAGACUCCUACGGGAGGCAGCAGUAGGGAAUCUUCGGCAAUGGACGAAAGUCUGACCGAGCAACGCCGCGUGAGUGAAGAAGGUUUUCGGAUCGUAAAACUCUGUUGUUAGAGAAGAACAAGGACGUUAGUAACUGAACGUCCCCUGACGGUAUCUAACCAGAAAGCCACGGCUAACUACGUG